AUGGAGUGUGACAGUGUGAUUCAGGACAGGAAAGGAGGAAACCUUGACAUCAGAACAACUCCGCUCAGUGAAAACGAAGGCAAGCUGGAAAAGGAGGAAAGCCAGAAGAUGAAGUAGAGCCUGAAGAUGAAGAAAAGUCAGAUGAGGAAGAGAAGCCGGACAAAGAAAAAAGCCAGCGCGCCAGGGCAAGCUAGAGGAGGCAGCAAAGCCAGAUGAGCAGGGGCAAGAUGAGGGGAAGCCCGAGAAGCAGGGAAAGUCUGACAGGAGGGCAAGCGCCAAGGGAGAAACAAGCCCGAUUCCCAGGCAAAAUCAGCCAGCAGGCGCGAGCUGCAAAAAGCGCCCCGCUGAAGAUUAUGUGCCCCGGAAAGCAAAGCGAAAAACAGAUAGGGGGACAGAUGAUUCUCCCAAGAACUCCCAGGAGGACUUACAGGACAGGCAUGUGAGCAGUGAGGAGACGAUGAGAGAGUGUGCAGAUAUGACAAGGGCUCAGGAAGAGCUGAGGAAGAGGCAGAAAGUGGGUGGUUUUCACUGGGUACCAAGAGAUGCACAGGAGGCUUUAGUCCCCAGGGGCCAACGGGGAGUCAGGGGGGUGAGGGGCGGCGGAGGCAGGAGCCAGAGGGGCCUCCAUGACAUCCCAUACCUUUAAUGCCUUUGGCCUUCAAUUCUGACCUCUCUGAGGAGAAAGAACACUGCUGGCCCUGCUUUCCCUGGUAACUACUUGCCAGGCCUGUGCUUUAUUUAACCUUCAGCCGAAACUCUGCUAUAGGUAUCACUGUCCUUACCAGCAGCCUUCUGACCCAACUACAGUGCUCUCUGUCUUUUAGUACAGGAUUUUCACUCAUGUGCAUGAAAAAUAUGUUCAUGGUACAUUGUAAAGUGAAUAAACAAAACAGUUUGCAGAACCACA